rnacentral:tRNA from 2 species
GGCACCGUAGCCCAACGGCAGAGGCGCUCGGCUUAGAACCGAGAUGUUGGGAGUUCGAAUCUCCCCGGUGCUA